AAGCCUCUAGAUAGAAAAUAGGUGCCCGUACCGCAAACCGACACAGGUAGUCAAGAUGAGAAUUCUAAGGUGAGCGAGCGAACUCUCGUUAAGGAACUCGGCAAAAUGACCCCGUAACUUCGGGAGAAGGGGUGCUCUUUAGGGUUAACGCCCAGAAGAGCCGCAGUGAAUAGGCCCAAGCGACUGUUUAUCAAAAACACAGGUCUCUGCUAAACCGUAAGGUGAUGUAUAGGGGCUGACGCCUGCCCGGUGCUGGAAGGUUAAGAGGAGUGGUUAGCUUCUGCGAAGCUACGAAUCGAAGCCCCAGUAAACGGCGGCCGUAACUAUAACGGUCCUAAGGUAGCGAAAUUCCUUGUCGGGUAAGUUCCGACCCGCACGAAAGGCGUAACGAUUUGGGCACUGUCUCAACGAGAGACUCGGUGAAAUCAUAGUACCUGUGAAGAUGCAGGUUACCCGCGACAGGACGGAAAGACCCCGUGGAGCUUUACUGUAGCCUGAUAUUGAAAUUCGGCACAGCUUGUACAGGAUAGGUA
rnacentral:rRNA from 1 species